GGUGCAGCCACUUGCUCGCAGGAUAUUCGCAGUUUUUUUUCUUAUUAAAAACACAGCGAAGUCUCAGAUGUCGGAGGUACCUGUGUGGCACAUAAAUAUACAACAACAACAACAAGCGAGGCACACAGCUUCCCCGGAGAGGACUCUUUUUAACCGGAUAAAGAAAGCCGUGGCAUUGAGGCAAAAAACUGCCUUCAAGGAGAAAGCACCACCGGAGGGUUGCUACGGGGAGUAGUUUAAAAAAAACAUCAUCUGAAAUACGAGACAGCGAGUCCACUACAGGUUCACUCAAGGCCUGAAAACCAAUAAGCCAUCAGCAACAUUAUCAGCAGCGCUGACUUUUCUUCUGCACCGUCAGUGAGAGAGACGCUCAAAGACGACGUUGACAUCCUGAGGAAGAAAAAAAGACGCCCCGCGGCGAAAGCAGCUCAGACGCCUCGACAUUGGAACCUCUGCUGCCAGAUAGGACGGGGACGGAUGGCUGUCGUCCACACGGCGCUGCAAUUAGGAGGCACAAGCGGCCGCCGCGUGUUUCCUUGACAGCAGCCAAUCCCACUUCCACCUACAACACCAUCCAACGCUGCAGCCAACGAUCCAGGGGCGGGUUCGAGCACGCCGCCGGCAGCGGCAGCGGCAGCGCCUCCGUCUGAAUGUGAUACGCGCUCAACGGGCCUCUGCGACUCAGCAAGAGAGAGAGAGAGAGAGAGAUCAGAACUCAGCGCUCACCUCCAGAACCCGGAGUAAGCACUUUUGUUGUUAUGAAGCCUGGAGCGGAGCCAAGCUUCAACCAAAGACCUCCUCACCCCUUGAAAAGGAUUACAUGCCUUGACAUUUUGACAUUUGUAUACAUAAAAAUUACAUUUCCCUUUCUUUCUAACUGUUUUUUUGUCUUUCAUUUCUGCCCUCCGCACAAGCUGAGCUCUGUUCACCUUGAGAAAGCAUCCAAGGGCCCGGAAACCCAAGUGUGGCCCUCUGACAAGCAGCUGGCGUGAAUAACGCGGCCCAUGACGGACUGUGAAGUACAGUAACGGUGUUCUUGCUCAUUCUUAGGAUAUUGGGUUUUUGGUCACCUG
ensembl:lncRNA